GACAGACACAGAGGCUGAAAUGGAACCCUAUUCAUUAUAUAGUGCACUCGUUUUGAGCAGGGUCAUGGUAGGGAGUAGGGUGCAUUUUCUGGAUGCACAGAGGGGAUAGAAUAGGCCCAGCUAACUGAGGUCUGUGGUAGAAUAGGCCCAGCUAACGGAGGUCUGUGGUAGAAUAGGCCCAGCUAACGGAGGUCUGUGGUAGAAUAGGCCCAGCUAACGGAGGUCUGUGGUAGAAUAGGCCCAGCUAACGGAGGUCUGUGGUAGAAUAGGCCCAGCUAACGGAGGUCUGUGGUAGAAUAGGCCCAGCUAACGGAGGUCUGUGGUAGAAUAGGCCCAGCUAACGGAGGUCUGUGGUAGAAUAGGCCCAGCUAACGGAGGUCUGUGGUAGAAUAGGCCCAGCUAACGGAGGUCUGUGGUAGAAUAGGCCCAGCUAACGGAGGUCUGUGGUAGAAUAGGCCCAGCUAACGGAGGUCUGUGGUAGAAUAGGCCCAGCUAACUGACUGAGGUCUGUGGUAGAAUAGGCCCAGCUAACGGAGGUCUGUGGUAGAAUAGGCCCAGCUAACGGAGGUCUGUGGUAGAAUAGGCCCAGCUAACGGAGGUCUGUGGUAGAAUAGGCCCAGCUAACGGAGGUCUGUGGUAGAAUAGGCCCAGCUAACUGACAGGUCUGUGGUAGAAUAGGCCCAGCUAACUGAGGUCUGUGGUAGAAUAGGCCCAGCUAACUGAGGUCUGUGGUGGAAUAGGCCCAGCUAACUGAGGUCUGUGGUAGAAUAGGCCCAGCUAACGGAGGUCUGUGGUAGAAUAGGCCCAGCUAACUGAGGUCUGUGGUAGAAUAGGCCCAGCUAACUGAGGUCUGUGGUAGAAUAGGCCCAGCUAACUGAGGUCUGUGGUAGAAUAGGCCCAGCUAACUGAGGUCUGUGGUAGAAUAGGCCCAGCUAACUGAGGUCUGUGGUAGAAUAGGCCCAGCUAACUGAGGUCUGUGGUAGAAUAGGCCCAGCUAACUGAGGUCUGUGGUAGAAUAGGCCCAGCUAACUGAGGUCUGUGGUAGAAUAGGCCCAGCUAACUGAGGUCUGUGGUAGAAUAGGCCCAGCUAAAUAACCGGGGUCUGUGGUGGAAUAGGCCCAGCUAACUGACUGAGGUCUGUGGUAGAAUAGGCCCAGCUAACUGAGGUCUGUGGUAGAAUAGGCCCAGCUAACUAACCGGGGUCUGUGGUGGAAUCUGAUUACGGAGAAGCCUAU